rnacentral:ncRNA from 1 species
CGUAUGGUGUGCAACUCCGGGUUGUAUAGCGAUACGGCCUUAGCUUAGAGGU